rnacentral:rRNA from 1 species
AUUGAACGCUAGCGGGAUGCUUUACACAUGCAAGUCGAACGAGUGGCGGACGGGUGAGUAAUAUAUCGGAACGUGCCCAGUAGCGGGGGAUAACUACUCGAAAGAGUGGCUAAUACCGCAUACCAUCGGAGCGGCCGAGAUCGGAUUAGCUAGUUGGUGGGGUAAAGGCUCACCAAGGCAACGAUCCCUAGCUGGUCUGAGAGGACGACCAGCCACACUGGGACGGAGACAAGGGCCCGACUCCCACGGGGGGCAGGAGUUGGGAAUAUUGGAAAAAGGGGGAAACCCUGAUCCAGCCAUCCCGCGUGUAUGAGAAGGCCUUCGGGUUGUAAAGUACUUUUGGCAGAGAAGCGGUAUCUGCAGAAGAAGCACCGGCUAACUACGUGCCAGCAGCCGCGGUAAUAC